rnacentral:lncRNA from 1 species
AAAAAUUCUUUCCACAAACGUCUUCACAAAUAUCAUCAGUCUUUUUGAAAUUAGAAUACCCGUAAGAAAUGAUUAGGUUCUUUUGUAGAAACCCAAUUCCAAUAUCUCUAAUCAUCAAUUCCAUUUAUUGUCGUCCCUUUGACAUAUGUUUCCAUGCAUAUACUCUCCCGAUUACUCUGUCCAGCCAUACUUCCUAAACGUGCUCUACCCUAAUCCCUCUAAAGUUCAUAGUCAAUGAUCCUGGUAAACAACAUUCCUGGGUUUGGUCCACGCUCACCACACCAUUGUUGGAACAAAAUUUAAUUCGUCAGGAGAAAAAAAAAGGGGGUUCUUUGAUGAAGAAUGAGAUGAAAAGAAGAGUGUCUGGAGCGCAAACACCCCUAAAUAGGGUCUUUAGAAAUGUAUAUAAGGAGGCUUUUCCGAGUCAAAUUCUGAGUCAUUAGAGCGAGUCGAACUUCGAAUCGAGUUAUGAUAUAUUUUAUUAUAAUUAUAUAACAAGGUUAAAAUAAUAAUUUAAGUUAUUCUAUUUGAUGUAAUUUUUUAACUAAUAUCAUUUUAUUUUCUCCAUCCAAAAUUAAAAUAAAACCUCAUCUCUUCAUAAAUAAGUGUCCUUUGCACGCCUAUUAACCUUCUCUCUAUUCCCUUUAAAUUCCCAAGAAAAAAACUUUCUUUAAAUAACUCUUUGGUGGAAGAUAACCUUGUUCACCCUCAAUUUUUAAUGGCAAAUCUUGAUUAUCCAUCUAAAUUCAUGAAAG